rnacentral:lncRNA from 1 species
CAUUCUGACGGAAGCACUUCAAAGCCUGUCUCUGCCAGACCAAAAUCAGGCCCGCAGGCCCACACCGGCGCUCUCCCUCCCUCCUGGGACCAGCUAUCCUGAUGAAAUGUUUGAGGAAACAAGGCUCCUACCCUCUGCUAUGGAGGCACUGCGGGAAGACACUGGGAACCCCUUCGUUGUCUACCUGAACAGUGGCCGGCCUGUGGCAUACAUCACUGGGAUGUGGUGUCAGCGACUGGGGAUGGAGAGCGCACAUGUUGCUGCAUGAUUACAAUUGCCGACUCGAAGAGGCAUUAAAGCCAGGAAAUGAAAAAGAGAUGAACCAUAUUACUUUACCCUCGGGACCCUGGACAGUCUGUUUAUAUGGUCGCCAGGAGGCAACCCUGUGGAAGGGCUCCAGCGUUCGGCAUGACCUAACCUGCGGGUCUGUUUUCUUGUCUGGAAUCUUCUCUUUGG